rnacentral:rRNA from 1 species
CCUACGGGAGGCAGCAGUGGGGAAUUUUGGACAAUGGGGGAAACCCUGAUCCAGCAAUGCCGCGUGAGUGAAGAAGGCCUUCGGGUUGUAAAGCUCUUUUGUCAGGGAAGAAACACCGGCUCUAACACAGUCCGGGAAUGACGGUACCUGAAGAAUAAGCACCGGCUAACUACGUGCCAGCAGCCGCGGUAAUA